rnacentral:lncRNA from 1 species
AACAAUAAAUUGUAAGAAAGUCUUCUGACAACCUCAUAAUUAUAAAAAAAAAAGUUCUUAAACUUCUAGAAACUAACUUUAGUCCUCAAAUUUUCCAAGAUUUACACAUUUGGCCAAAAACUUCUAGAACACAUAGUUUUAGUCCCAAAAUUUAAUUUCAAGCAUCAAAACAUUAGUAAAACUCAAAUAACUCAUGCAUCAACAUUUAGCAAGUUCCAACAACAAAAACUUGG